CGGCCCCUAAGGCGAGGCCGAAAGGCGUAGUCGAUGGGAACCAGGUUAACAUUCCUGGGCCAGCGGAAAGUGACGGGUUCUGGAAAUCGUUCAUUCUUACUGGAUUGAGUGAGCGGUGAAGGCGCCCCUGGAAAUAGCUUCCGCAUUAGACCGUACCCCAAACCGACACAGGUGGACUGGUAGAGCAUACCAAGGCGCUUGAGAGAACUCUGCUGAAGGAACUCGGCAAAUUGCUCCCGUAAGUUCGCGAGAAGGGAGCCUGGCGCUGCGCAAGCAGUGUCCAGGGGCACAGACCAGGGGGUGGCGACUGUUUACUAAAAACACAG
rnacentral:rRNA from 1 species